GAUGAACGCUGGCGACGUGCCUAAUACAUGCAAGUCGAGCGAACAGACGAGGAGCUUGCUCCUCUGACGUUAGCGGCGGACGGGUGAGUAACACGUGGAUAACCUACCUAUAAGACUGGGAUAACUUCGGGAAACCGGAGCUAAUACCGGAUAAUAUAUUGAACCGCAUGGUUCAAUAGUGAAAGACGGUUUUGCUGUCACUUAUACAUGGAUCCGCGCCGCAUUAGCUAGUUGGUAAGGUAACGGCUUACCAAGGCAACGAUGCGUAGCCGACCUGAGAGGGUGAUCGGCCACACUGGAACUGAGACACGGUCCAGACUCCUACGGGAGGCAGCAGUAGGGAAUCUUCCGCAAUGGGCGAAAGCCUGACGGAGCAACGCCGCGUGAGUGAUGAAGGUCUUCGGAUCGUAAAACUCUGUUAUUAGGGAAGAACAAAUGUGUAAGUAACUAUGCACGUCUUGACGGUACCUAAUCAGAAAGCCACGGCUAACUACGUG
rnacentral:rRNA from 1 species